GAGGCUCUUAAAAGUUUAUAAAAAGAGAAAAUAGGGUCCGGUUUGGGUGAGAGAAUGACGGCCGCUAUAAGUCUAUAACCAUCUCUGUAAAGAAAAACCUUCCUCACCUAUGGUUAGGAACUCUCUCAAAUAACAAGGAGAUGCUCGUGUUCAUGCUCUGCUUCUCAGGUUAGUUCUUCUUCAACCUUUCUUUAUCGUCAUUUUCUUCCAAAACACACUAUGCUAAACUAAACACACAUAACUACUUAUCACUCUUCCAUUUUUAAAUUAAUUUUCAAGAUUCCUUUAAUAGAUUCUAAUAAUAAUAAUAAUCAAAUUAAAAAAAAUUCCGACCUACCGGAUUCGAACCAGUGACCUAAGAAUGACAGCAUGAUACACCAACUACAGUCCUCCGCUCUACCAACUGAGCUAAGGUCGGUUGCUGUUAGGGAUUCUGUCGAAAAUUAGAUUAACUAAGUUUCCAACUAUAGUGCUUACUAAUGAGGCUUCUUGGUCAGUAUUUGCAAAACAUGCAUGCUUUUCAUAGUUUGUUAGAAAAUGUAAGGGAGUGUCUUUAGCAGCACAAUCACUUGGAGGCUUAUUGAAACACUGCUUUCUUAAUUGUUUAUUGUAUCCUAAGGGUUACAAACUCAACCUGUUGAUCUUGUUAUUGGAAGACUUUAGAACAUAGUCACACUGUUCACUAUUUGCUUUGGUACAUGAUCCGAAUUUGGGUACGCGGUUUGCAACUCUCAAAGAAAGAAGUUGAUAUUUUGUUGGGCGAUCUCAUGAUGGAAGGUUAACAAUUCGUGCCUACUUAUUUACUCCCUCAACAACUAUAUUCAUUUUUGUUUUCAAUUGGAGUUCUUUUAGCAACUUAUGGAAUCCUCUUUCAUUGCUCUGCAUUAGCAAAAUAUUUGAUCCUUAUCUGUAUAGAUACUGUAGAAGAUGCUUAUUUCAACCAUGUUGUAAUCUUGGUUUCAACGUCAGAAAAAACAAUCCUGAUUCUGGAGCAGUCACACACAGUUUAAGAAUAAUUUCUUAGUUCAUAGCCCCUAUUAGAAUUACAAUACUGAGACAAACAAGGAACAGAAAAUAAGAUGGUGAUUUCAUACAAUUUGCAGUCUUCAUUGUGAUUUUAAGGAUAAUCUAAACUCCCAAAUAGGCACUUUAGUGUUAGUUAGCAUUAGGAAUCUUUUGUUGUUUCUCUUUUUAAGCAGUAUGCAUGCGUAAUUAGAGCAGAUAUUUGGAUAUUAAACAUAUUUAAAUCCGUAAGGAGUACUCAUGUAAAUGUCACUUGCUUAAUUUCGUCCAUUUUAUGCACGAGCGGUUUAUUCCAUCUUUUGUAUCUACGUUAUUUUCCUUUAAUAUUUGUCUAUUUUUCAUGUUUGCAGUUUGUUGUACAAGAUUGUAUCGAUGCAGAGUUACAACAAAUGUCUUUUCUCUUUAUAUUUUCAGGUAAAGAUUAUCCAAGCAUAGAUUUCAUUUUCUUUUUGAGAAUGUGUGUGGAUGACAGUAUAAUGAAGAAGUUAUCUUGUCUUAAAAUUUUGUUUUGUUUUGUUUUACGCACAAUAAAGAAGUUUUUUUUGUAUUAUGAUACUAUCCAAAUGUGUAUCAUCUUUAUAUUGGAUUUGAAUUACUUAGGAUUUCUAUUUUAUACAGCUGCUGGAAUAUGUGGCUGAGCAGUGAUUUUGAAACAAAUAAGGGGCUAUCUUUUAUAUGGUAAUUUUUCAGUAAAUUGAAAUGUAAUAGUUUGUAGGCCAUAAUUGUAUUUGAUGCAACCUCAACCAUAAUAUUAAAUUGAUUUUGCUGAAUUUGGCAGAGUUGUCUUUUGAAUGGGAAAAAAUAAAGAAGCUUAUGGUGAGUUAUUGUAA
rnacentral:lncRNA from 1 species